ACGCUGGCGGCGUGCCUACACAUGCAAGUCGAGCGAAGCAUUUAGGUUAGCUUGCUAAUCUUUAUGACUGAGCGGCGAACGGGUGAGUAACACGUGGGUAAUCUACCUGAAAGUCUGGGAUAACAGUUCGAAAGGGCUACUAAUACCGGAUGACAUUAUGAUGUAGAGUCAUCAAUCAAAGCGUUACGGAGCGCUUUCAGAUGAGCCCGCGUCCCAUUAGCUAGUUGGUAAGGUAAAGGCUCACCAAGGCGACGAUGGGUAGCCGGUCUGAGAGGAUGGACGGCCACACUGGAACUGAGACACGGUCCAGACUCCUACGGGAGGCAGCAGUGGGGAAUUUUGCGCAAUGGGGGCAACCCUGACGCAGCGACGCCGCGUGAGCGAAGAAGGCCUUCGGGUUGUAAAGCUCUGUCUGGGGGGAAGAUAGUGACGGUACCCCCGGAGGAAGCCCCGGCUAACUACGUGCCAGCAGCCGCGGUAAGACGUAGGGGGCGAGCGUUGUCCGGAAUUACUGGGCGUAAAGGGCAUGUAGGCGGCCUGCCAAGUCAGCUGUGAAAUUCCUCGGCUCAACCGGGGCACUGCGGUUGAAACUGGUAGGCUUGAGUGCAGAAGAGGAGGGUGGAAUUCCCAGUGUAGCGGUGAAAUGCGUAGAUAUUGGGAGGAACACCGGUGGCGAAGGCGGCCUUCUGGUCUGUAACUGACGCUGAGGCGCGAAAGCUAGGGUAGCAAACAGGAUUAGAUACCCUGGUAGUCCUAGCUGUAAACGCUGGGUACUAGGGUGUAGGGGGUUUAGACGCCUUCUGUGCCGUA
rnacentral:rRNA from 1 species